ensembl:lncRNA
UUCCUAAGUUGAAACAUUAUUAUUUUGUUGUUGAAAAAUUAAUAUGAAUUUGGGUAACCCUUCAAAUUGCAGCCCGAUACUUACAAGUGUUGAAGUCAACACUUCCCCGAGUUGGUUUGUUGGAAAGGAGAAUAAAACACCAGGAGUCAGGUCAAUUACCGUACCGCAUAUUCCGUUUAUUACAAAAGCUUUUGGAGGUAAGUGUCGCCGCACAAUGUCUAAGGAUCAACCGUCAAAACAGCAUUUUAUACUUCAACUACGCCCAAAAGAUAGAGGCGUCAAGUUAGCAAAGCAAGUGUGCCAUUGGCCAAAUUCCAGUUCUAUUCCUUAUAAGGAUAAAUGCAAACAUCUUCUUGCCCCCUUCUGGUUUCUGUCUUGUCUGUCAGAGUAUGUGUGUAUGUCUCUAACCUGUGUCCUGUUUCUCAAAAGACAGACAUACUAAAUCUUUCUCUCCCCGGCAACCGCUUGAACAGGGUUUCCUGUUCUCCUACUUGCACCUUCAGUUUCAAAUCAAGUUACAAACACUUAAUAUUUUGCUUCAUUGCUUACAACAGUUCACUAACUUAACAUACAAUCAAUAUAUCUACAAUUCCCCCUUUUGAUCUUUCCCCAGAGAGAUCACCCCUAUUCGCCAAGCUCCAGUUCUCCCGGGUCAUGCUGCUCCAGUAGAGGCAUCAGCAUCCUGGUGGCGGUCCUGGAGCCUUUUCAAUGGCUGUAGAGAUAACUCUCAUGGCAAGCCCUCUUAUUCAUGGGAUACAACAACAACCACAAGUGACCAUUAUAGCACCAAAUGUAGCAAGCGAUAAAAGAACAGACAUUAUCAAACCUUUCCACUGGCCGAACAUCGAGGUCAGCAAUUCCUCCAGCGGAUUAUCUAUCCCAGAAUGCUCGUAUGCGACCCCUUGACAUAGUCCAAUUCAAUCCCCCAAAUUUCCUCAAACAGGUGUCCUCAGGUGGGGUCGCGAACCUCUUCGCUGGGGGAAUGAAGACCCGAUGCCAACCUGGGAAACCUGUAAUAACAUACAACACACAUCAUUAUUCCCCCAAUGCCCAUAUACCAUUUCAUUCUACUAUCAUCUCCCCAGGCCCUUCUCUGUGACCCUGUCAUCUUGGUACGAGUGGUAGGAGCCACUCGGUGUCCUAUACCCCCUUUUGUUACAGUAUUCCUCAGUUCCUUCCCCUAAGAGUCUAUUCCCCUGGCGCCGUCCUUUGUCUCCUUCACUCGCUCGUAGUCCCGCCGUGUCCUGGGGUCCGCUCCUGGCACCGGUCUGGCUGGUGCUGGUCCUCCUUCCGUCCACACUGUGGAAAGCUCCUUCUUCCCGGUUUGGAUGAGGUCCGUCAGCGACCUCCCUGGCUCCUGCGCUGGUGUACACUGGUUCCAAUGGUACCAGGUCUCUCCUUUGUCCCUCAGGCGGACCGCAUGGCUCGUUCUCUCCACCACCUGAUGAGGACCCGUCCACCUUGGCUCCGACCACUUUCGCUUGAUGACCUUCAGCAGCACCCACUCCGCCUGGGGCAGGUUCUGGUCCAGCGGGUGCAGGUUCCUCCGUUCUCCAACUCUAUUGGAGAAUUCUGAAACGAGAGCUCGCAAUUCAUCAAAAUACACUCUGUGAUCUUUGGGCCACUUUUCCCCUUCCGGGACCACAGGCCCCGCGGCUGGUCCUGGAAACUGUCUCCCCGUCAGCAGCUCGUAUGGGGUGAACCCAGUGGUCUGAUUUAACGAGCAUCGAAUCGUCAUGAGUGCCAGUGGCAGUGCAUCCACCCAGUUCAAUUUAGUCUGUGCACAUAUCUUAGCCAACUUGUUUUUUAAGUUUUGGUUCAUCCUUUCUACCUUUCCCUGGGACUGUGGAUGGUACACAGUGCCAAAAGCAUGUUUCAGGCCCAAUAAGCUCUCUACCUUCUGUAAAUCACUGUUCUUAAAGUGAGUCCCAUUGUCUGACCUGAUUUUCUCUGGGAAGCCGUGUCUGGGAAUGUACUGGUUCACUAAACACUUGAUCACUGUCUGACUGUCCUCCCUUCUUGCCGGCCAGGCUUCUGGCCACCCUGUGAACAUGUCCACACACACUAACAUGUAGCGGAACCCCCAUGUCCGUGUAGUCUAUCACUAUCUCUUGUCCAGGUCUCGUCGUCAUGGGGAACGCCCCCAUCUCAGGUUUGAUCGUCGGUUUUGGAUUGUGGUGAGUGCAGAUGGUGCAUGUCCUAGUGUAGUUACGUACCAUGUCUACCAUAAACGGGUGCCACCAAUGGCACAAGUUCCUCAACAUCUGUGCUGGCCCUACAUGGCCCAACCCAUGGGCUUCUGCAAAUGUAUCUCCCCGCAUGGCUGGUGGAAGUAUUACUCUGCUCUCUGGCCCUCUCCAGAGCCCGCUCGUCUCUGUUGCUCCUCUCUGUUGCCAAAUUGUUUUCUCUUGUGGGGAAGCCCCCUUUUGAUAUCUCACUAGCUCGUCUCUCUCAGGGCCUUCUCCCCACCCCACUUCCUCUUCUGCUCUUACCACCACCACUCGCGGAGUGUACCCUGCUGCCUGUUUUGCUGCUGUGUCUGCCGCUUGAUUUCCCUGAGCUACUACAUUAUUUGAAUUAUCGUGUCCUUUGCAUUUUAUGAUGCCUACCUUUUCGGGCAGGUCUAGGGCCUCGGCUAGUUCUCUCAUCUCUGCCUCGUGUUUAAUCGGUUUGUCUCCUGCUGUUCUAAACCCAGCUUUUAACCACUGUCCUAGCUCCACGUGCGCUGCGCCUACUGCGUAUGCCGAAUCUGUGUAAAUGUUUACUCUCUUUCCCUUGGCCUGCCUGAGGGCCUCUAUAACUGCUCUCACUUCUGCUCUCUGGGCUGACUGCAGCCCCUGGAGCCUCUCUGCUUUCACUGUGACUAAACCCUCUGGUGUUAGUUUCACUACCGCAAACGCCGCCCUCAGCCCGUCUUGUUCGUGUCUGAAACAGCACCCAUCAGUGAAGAAGUCCUCUGCCCCUGGGAGGGGUUCUGCCUGCAGAUCGGUUCGCGUCUUACUCUCCCUCACUACCUCUUGCGCGCACUCAUGUGGUAGCCCCGUCCCCAUUCGGUCUGCCAUAUUUAUCCCUUCAUGUGUGAAAAUCAAAUUUGGAGCCCCGCAAAUUUUGCUUAGGUGUUGUUGGCUGAGGGAAGUCAUAGUGAACAUCUGUGAAUUUACAUACGCCACUACACUGUGUGUUGUGAGUAUCUGAAGGUGAUGCCCCAUCACUAUGUGUGCACAUUUUUGAAUGAAUCUCGCUACCCCCGCUGCAUGCUGUGUGCAGGUGAGGUGCCUUUUUUCGGUUUUGUCAAAUCCUACGCUUAUGUACAUAAGGAUGUUCCUAUCUCCCCCUUUUUUCUGAAACAGGACCCCGUUCAUGACUUGUCCUGUUUCAGAAACAUCUAGAAAAAAGGGUUUUGUUUAGUCGGGUACGGCCAGAUCAGCUGCGGUGGCUAGUUGUUGUUUCAGUAAAAUGAAGGCCUGGUCGGCCGGGCAAGUCCAAUUGAGAGUGGCUUUAAGUUUACGCAUUCCCUGCUCCUUAACUAGCGCUCUAAGUGGCUCUGUGAGCCCUGAAUAGUUUGGGAUGUAAUUGCGGCUGUACCCCGUGAGCCCCAGGAAUGAUAGCAUUUCCUGAACAGUAGUGUGUUUAGGAUGGUGGAGGAUGGUUGUGCGGUGAGCUGGGGAAAGCCCCGCUCCUUUCUGCGAGAUUACUCUGCCCAGAAAGGAGACCUGCGUCCUUACCAGCUGUAGCUUUUCUUUUGAUACCUUCAACCCUUUCUCUGCCAGUCUGGUGAGGACCGUCAUUGUAGCUUGGAUGCAGGCAGCCCGUUGGUGUUUAGGAUGCAGGGCCAGUGCCACAUACGGGACGGACUCCUCCGCCAUCAUGUACCACUGUUCCUGCUCCUCUGUCAACUGUACAUCUGCCGCUACCCCUUCAGGGCCUACAUAUAUGAAUUUAGACCCGACCUGCCACGUGUCCCCACAUACUACAUCCCCAAACCCCUCUCUAUACACCUCAUCGCCCUGCCGAUCAUAAAAUAGGGUUACAUGUGGGGGGUAUGGCGGAGGAAAGUACGGCUCGAGGAGGGAGAUCCACGGCCUCCAUUUGAAGUACUGGGACAAAAUACCCUGUUUGUCCGGCUUUUCCGGUAUCAAUAGUCCCCAGUAUAUCUCUGCUAUUUCACCCUUCACCGGUUGUACCAGGUACUGCCCUUUGCGUGUGGUUUCAGGUCCGCACACCGCCGACGUCCCGUCUGGUAACG